UACGGAAGGCAGCAGUGGGGAAUAUUGCACAAUGGGCGAAAGCCUGAUGCAGCUAUGCCGCGUGUAUGAAGAAGGCCUUAGGGUUGUAAAGUACUUUCAUCGGGGAGGAAAAACAAAACUAAUAAUUUUAUUUCUUGACGUUACCCGAAAAAGAAGCACCGGCUAACUCCGUGCCAGCAGCCGCGGUAAUACGGAGGGUGCUAGCGUUAAUCAGAAUUACUGGGCGUAAAGAGCACGUAGGUGGUUUUUUUAAGUCAGAUGUGAAAUCCCUGGGCUUAACCUGGAACUGCAUUUUGAAACUGAAAUACUAGAGUAUCGUAGAGGGAGGUAGAAUUCUAGGUGUAGCGGUGAAAUGCGUAGAUAUCUGGAGGAAUACCUGUGGCGAAAGCGGCCUCCUAAACGAAUACUGACACUGAGGUGCGAAAGCGUGGGGAGCGAAACAGGGAUUAGGAUAC
rnacentral:rRNA from 1 species